rnacentral:rRNA from 1 species
UACGUAGGGGGCUAGCGUUGUCCGGAAUCAUUGGGCGUAAAGCGCGUGUAGGCGGUCCGGUAAGUCCGCUGUGAAAGUCGGGGGCUCAACCCUCGAAUGCCGGUGGAUACUGUCGGGCUAGAGUGCGGAAGAGGCGAGUGGAAUUCCUGGUGUAGCGGUGAAAUGCGCAGAUAUCAGGAGGAACACCAAUUGCGAAGGCAGGUCUCUGGGCCGAUACUGACGCUGAGGAGCGAAAGCGUGGGGAGCGAACAGG